rnacentral:rRNA from 1 species
GGUUAAUUGAAGAUGUGCAAGCAUCGGAUCGAAGCCCCAGUAAACGGCGGCCGUAACAAUAACGGUCCUAAGGUAGCGAAAUUCCUUGUCGGGUAAGUUCCGACCUGCACGAAUGGCGUAACGAUGGCGGCGCUGUCUCCACCCGAGACUCAGUGAAAUUGAAAUCGCUGUGAAGAUGCAGUGUAUCCGCGGCUAGACGGAAAGACCCCGUGAACCUUUACUAUAGCUUUGCACUGGACUUUGAAUUUGCUUGUGUAGGAUAGGUGGGAGGCUUUGAAGCGUGGACGCCAGUCUGCAUGGAGCCAACCUUGAAAUACCACCCUGGCAACUUUGAGGUUCUAACUCAGGUCCGUUAUCCGGAUCGAGGACAGUGUAUGGUGGGUAGUUUGACUGGGGCGGUCUCCUCCUAAAGAGUAACGGAGGAGUACGAAGGUGCGCUCAGACCGGUCGGAAAUCGGUCGUAGAGUAUAAAGGCAAAAGCGCGCUUGACUGCGAGACAGACACGUCGAGCAGGUACGAAAGUAGGUCUUAGUGAUCCGGUGGUUCUGUAUGGAAGGGCCAUCGCUCAACGGAUAAAAGGUACUCCGGGGAUAACAGGCUGAUACCGCCCAAGAGUUCAUAUCGACGGCGGUGUUUGGCACCUCGAUGUCGGCUCAUCACAUCCUGGGGCUGAAGCCGGUCCCAAGGGUAUGGCUGUUCGCCAUUUAAAGUGGUACGCGAGCUGGGUUUAGAACGUCGUGAGACAGUUCGGUCCCUAUCUGCCGUGGACGUUUGAGAUUUGAGAGGGGCUGCUCCUAGUACGAGAGGACCGGAGUGGACGAACCUCUGGUGUUCCGGUUGUCACGCCAGUGGCAUUGCCGGGUAGCUAUGUUCGGGAAAGAUAACCGCUGAAAGCAUCUAAGCGGGAAACUUGCCUCAAGAUGAGAUCUCACUGGAACCUUGAGUUCCCUAAAGGGCCGUCGAAGACUACGACGUUGAUAGGUUGGGUGUGUAAGCGCUGUGAGGCGUUGAGCUAACCAAUACUAAUUGCCCGUGAGGCUUGACC